GAUGAACGCUGGCGGCGUGCUUAACACAUGCAAGUCGAACGAGAAAUGUAGACGGAAACCUUCGGGCGGAAGCCUUCAUUUCGAGUGGCGGACGGGUGAGUAACGCGUGGGUAACCUGCCUCAUACAGGGGGAUAACAGUUGGAAACGACUGUUAAUACCGCAUAAGACCACAGCAUCGCAUGAUGCGGGGGUAAAAACUCCGGUGGUAUGAGAUGGACCCGCGUUCGAUUAGCCAGUUGGCGGGGUAACGGCCCACCAAAGCGACGAUCGAUAGCCGAUCUGAGAGGAUGACCGGCCACAUUGGGACUGAGACACGGCCCAAACUCCUACGGGAAGCAGCAGUGGGGAAUAUUGCACAAUGGGGGAAACCCUGAUGCAGCGACGCCGCGUGAGUGAAGAAGUACUUCGGUAUGUAAAGCUCUAUCAGCAGGGAAGAAAAUGACGGUACCUGAGGAAGAAGCCCCGGCUAACUACGUG
rnacentral:rRNA from 1 species